UCCCCCGCGCGCUCGCGACCCGGGGAGGCCCGGUUCUUGCUCGCGGGGGUCUCGGCGAGUGGCGUGCGUGCGAUCGGCCCUGCCCUGCCCCGGGACUGCCGCGCAGCAGGGAGGGCCCCGGCUGCGCCCCGAAACUGCCAAGCCCGGGGCGGGCCGCGCCCCGAUCUGGGCAGUUGAAGAGUUGGGGAGAUUUACUGCAGGCUGGCUCCACCGGACACUCUCCCAGGUGGUCACUGCAACCUGUCACUUCCUUCUCCCUGCGGCCACUUUGGAUUCCCCGGACUCUCCGGUCACCUCUGUGCUCAGUACCUGGAUCCUCCAGCAAGGCUCCGCCCACCAAGGCACUUCAUACUCACUUUCUCCUUGUUAGGCAACCGAGAAAUGUGGUGAAAAGAGAAAUGAGAGUGAAAAGGCCGUGAGCAUCAGGCCAGGUUUGGAAUGUAUGCCAAGGUUACCCUCAGUAAGGGAGCUGACGUUACAGUGUAAUGAAUGAAUGAACUCUGAUGUCUUUGAAACUUUUCAGUAAACCUAAAAGCCCAGAAUAAAAAGGGAACUGUAAAAGUAUUGAGGA